UGGCCGUGCAAGUCUGUUGGGAAAUCUGCUCGCCUAACGAGCAGGCGUCCGGCAGAAACUGCGCGGCUCGGGACCGAGCGGUCCGAGGGGUACGUCUGGGGUAGGAGUGAAAUCCCGUAAUCCUGGACGGACCACCGAUGGCGAAAGCACCUCGGAAGAUCGGAUCCGACAGUGAGGGACGAAAGCUGGGGUCACGAACCGGAUUAGAUACCCGGGUAGUCCCAGCUGUAAACGAUGCCAGUUAGGUGUGGCGCGGGCUACGAGCUCGUGCCGUGCCGCAGCGAAGGCGAUAAACUGGCCGCCUGGGAA
rnacentral:rRNA from 1 species